AUCGACCUCUUUCCAAUGGAUCACAACCCCAAAAGCCUCAUUUGGAACGUGCGCGGACUCAACGCGCGCGCUUGCCGCACCGCCAUCCGAUCACUAGUUGUAAUUGCAAAUGCGUAUGUUGUCUGCCUCCAAGAAACAAAGAUGGCCUUGAUCUACUCGUCGAUUGUCUUGGAGACCCUUGGCUCGAAAUUCAGGGGAAUUAUUAAACAUCGCAUUAACAACUCCUCCACUAUCAGCGCGUUACUAGAAAAAUAG
rnacentral:rRNA from 1 species